GAUGAACGCUAGCGGCAGGCUUAACACAUGCAAGUCGAGGGGUAACAUUGUGCUUGCACAGAUGACGACCGGCGCACGGGUGCGUAACGCGUAUACAAUCUACCUUAUACUGGGGAAUAGCCUUUGGAAACGAAGAUUAAUGCCCCAUAGUAUUAUUGAAUGGCAUCGUUUAAUAAUUAAAACUCCGGUGGUAUAAGAUGAGUAUGCGUUCUAUUAGUUAGUUGGUAAGGUAACGGCUUACCAAGACAUCGAUAGAUAGGGGUCCUGAGAGGGAGAUCCCCCACACUGGUACUGAGACACGGACCAGACUCCUACGGGAGGCAGCAGUGAGGAAUAUUGGACAAUGGGCGCAAGCCUGAUCCAGCCAUGCCGCGUGCAGGAAGACUGCCCUAUGGGUUGUAAACUGCUUUUAUAUGGGAAGAAUAAGGAUCUCGUGAGGUCUGAUGACGGUACCAUAAGAAUAAGCACCGGCUAACUCCGUGCCAGCAGCCGCGGUAAUACGGAGGGUGCAAGCGUUAUCCGGAAUCAUUGGGUUUAAAGGGUCCGUAGGCGGGCAUAUAAGUCAGUGGUGAAAUGCUGUGGCUCAACCAUAGCACUGCCAUUGAUACUGUAUGUCUUGAAUUAUUGUGAAGUGGUUAGAAUAUGUAGUGUAGCGGUGAAAUGCUUAGAUAUUACAUAGAAUACCGAUUGCGAAGGCAGAUCACUAACAGUAUAUUGACGCUGAUGGACGAAAGCGUAGGUAGCGAACAGGAUUAGAUACCCUGGUAGUCUACGCCGUAAACGAUGGAUACUAGUUGUUUGGCUUUCGGGCUGAGUGACUAAGCGAAAGUGAUAAGUAUCCCACCUGGGGAGUACGUUCGCAAGAAUG
rnacentral:rRNA from 1 species